UUGAAUGUCCCGCCCCGUCGCUGGCCGCUUCUCGCCUCGCCUCCUCCUUUCGCUCUGAAUCAAGCAAUGGGUUCGGGAAGCAGCUGCACGGCCCCGCGGUCGUCGCAUCACCGGCCCCGAGGCCGUCCGAGGCUCCGGCUCGCGUCCUUCCUCUGCGCGGAGCGGCCACCGCCGUCGCUCCCUCCUCCGCCGACUCUCGUCAGAUCAAGUGCUUUUACAGAAGUUCCAAUAAAAGUUAAUUCUCAGAAGAGUGCAUUGGAUUGAAAACCAACAAAUUGCCCGCAAAAGAAUGCAAUCAGUAUAGCCACCACACUUAAUGGAGCUACAGGAGCACCAACUUGUAGAUUGUACUGAAGCUCUUGAUCAGGAAAACCAUGAGGUGACGAAAAUAAAUGUCUGACAUAAAGAUGGACUGAAGAUAUAACUCUAGGGCAAUGUUCAGACUUCGGAUCGGGCCUUGGCUAGAUGGCAAAGACUGAAACAUCCAACAUAAUUUUUAUGCUUUAGGGCAGUUCCCUCCACAUGGGACAGCCAUGCUCAUAUCCAUCAGCUUCAGCAGACACCUAAACCUCAAUAAUUCUCCCACUUGGAGUUGAUGGCUGUCAUUUCAGAAUGGGGACAUACUUUACCACUGACAAUACACCAUCUCAAUUAUUUCUUCAUGCUCACCUGUCUGUGUCAGUCUCAGGUGGUCAUUUACAUAUGGCCACCUAACAACAAGAACUCUCUGAGUUAAUCUCAUUAUUCCAAGUUAACAACUUUGGCGUAUGAUGAUCUUGUUGGCUUACAAUUUGCUCUUUGGAGAGAUUUCUUGCAGAUGUUAAGAACAAAUUAUUUAGUUUAUGACAGUCAAGA